rnacentral:snRNA from 1 species
UAAUGUGAGGACAAUCUGGCUGUGACAUUUGUCACCUCAAUGAUCACAAAUUUGAUUCAGCUGAUCUGGCUGGCAAGAUGGCUGCCACGUUCUUCCCUCAUUCCUUCAUGUACAUCCCACCAGAAAAUCACAACCUUCCCCCCAGAGGGCUGUAUACAAGUAGCAGUGCUUCCCUGCUAGAACUUCCAGACAAGCUAUCAAAGAUGCUUACUUGCACAGGGAUCCUUUUAGCAAUAUCAAGAAUUAAUUCCACAUUUGCAUAGUUGUUAUUGUUUGGUCCUCCAGGCACUGGCACAUAGUG